GCCCUAAGGUGCAGAACACAACAGCAAAUCAGAAAACACAACACAAAAAAGAAAACACAACGGUAUUAACUUUUGUGUUUUCUCUUUUAGUGUUGUGUUUUCUGAUUUGCCGUUGUGUUCUGCACCUUAGGG
rnacentral:miRNA from 1 species